rnacentral:rRNA from 1 species
UACAGAGGUCCCAAGCGUUGUUCGGAUUCACUGGGCGUAAAGGGUGCGUAGGCGGUGUGUCACGUCGGCCGUGAAAACCUGGGGCUCAACUCUGGGCGUGCGGUCGAUACGGGCAUCAUUUGAGUUCGGCAGGGGAGACUGGAAUUCCUGGUGUAGCGGUGAAAUGCGCAGAUAUCAGGAGGAACACCGGUGGCGAAGGCGGGUCUCUGGGCCGAUACUGACGCUGAGGAGCGAAAGCAUGGGUAGCGAACAGG